UAAAAUCAAAAGAUUAAUACAGUCGAGGAACUUUUGAGGCACCCUCUUAGACACUGGCUCAGUUUCUUCUCUUUCAGCAAGCUGAGCUGCAGUGACUGCCAACAAGGAGAGAAAGAAGGAGAUGCCAAUAGAAUCAAUAAAUACAGAGUGAAUUCGAAGAGCAAGGUACUAUGCCAGCCAUUUUGAAACAAAGAUGAUUCAUUCGAAAGGUAAAGUGACUGCUAAUGGGUAUGAGGUUUCUUUUUUCUUUUUUUUCUUUUUUCUUUUUUAAAUAGAGACAAGGUCUUGCUAUCAGGUAUGAGGUUUCUUUUUUUUUAUUGUGAGACAGAGUCUUGUUCUGUCACUCAGGCUGGAGUGCAAUGGCUUGAUCUUGGCUCACUGCAACCUCUGCCUCCUGGGUUCAAAUGAUUCUCCUGCCUCAACCUCCCGAGUAGCUUGGACUACAGGCAUGCGCCACCAUGCCCGGCUAAUUUUUUGUAUUUUUAGUAGAGACAGGGUUUCACCAUGUUGGCCAGGCUGGUCUCGAACUCCUGACCUCAACUCCUGACCUCAGGCGAUCCACCUGCCUUGGCCUCCCAAAGGCGUGAGCCACUGCGCCCAGCCAGGUAUGAGGUUUCUGAUUGUGGUGAUAAAAAUGUUCUGGAAUCAGUGAUGAUGACUAUAUCACUUUGUGAAUAUACUAAAAAUCACUGAAUUGUAACUUUAAAAGGGUGAAUUUUAUGGUGUGUGACUUGUUUUUGUUUUUGAGAUGGAGUCUCAUUGUGUUGUCAGGCUGGAGUGCAGUGGUACUAUCUCGGCUUACUGCAGCCUCCGCCUCCCGGGUUCAAGCGAUUCUCCUGCCUCAGCCACCGGAGUAGCUGGGACUACAGGCACACACCACCAUGCCCAGCUAAUUUUGGUAUUUUUAGUAGGGGUUUCACCAUGUUGGCCAGGAUGGUCUCAAUCUCUUGACCUCAUGAUCCGCCUGCCUUGGCCUCCUGAAGUGCUGGGAUUACAGCACCACUGCACCCAGCCUAUGGUAUGUGAAUUCUAUCUCAAUUUAUACAUACAUACAUGCAUAUAUAUAAUUAAAGAAUAGCUAGUAUGUGCCAGAGAGUCUGUGCUAGGCAUUGGGUAAAUCAUACCUAACCUGUUUGAGUUACUGACUCUGUGUCAGCCUGUAUGCGAAGUUCUUUGCAUACAUCCUCUUAUUUGAUCUUUAUAAUCUCCUUGGAGGGAAUGAGUAUUGGUACCCCAUUUUAUAGCUAAAGAAAUGGAUUUAGAGAGUCCCUUGCUCAAAAUCACAUGUGAAGUUAGGUUUAAUCAUGUGAAACUGCCAUUUUGUAGACAGUAUUUAUGUUCAUAUGUCAUCAGUUUCUUAUAGCUCAAUCUAGUAAGUAGCUGUGUCUCUCUGAGUUUGUCACUGUGUACAUCAGGAAACCACUCUAGCCAGAUUAAGCAGCAAAGAAUC
rnacentral:lncRNA from 1 species